UCUCUCUCUCUCAAUCUUAAAAUCCAAAAUAAAAUCCCAAAACAGAAACUCCAAUCUUCUUCCCCCCUCUCUCACUCACCGGCGAUUCUCCAUGGCGCCACCGUCGUUGUCCCCUUCGCAGGAAACACUGCAGUGUCAGCGCCGACUCCACCGCCGCAACCUGCUGUCGUCGCCAUGGAAGCUCCAGGCGCCGCCGUCGCGACUCACCGCGAGUCGCCGGCUCUCCUCCCUUUGCGACUGAGCACGAUGAUUCAAAAUUAUCCUAAAUGAAUGCAAGAAAUUCGAUGCUAAGGAUUGAUCGGAUGAUUACCUUCUUAGGCGGCAGAAAAUUCUCUUCUCCUACUCGUUCUUUCUUUAUAUUUUUUUUCAAGGUUUCUGAAUGGUGGGAAACUUGUGGAGGUAUAUAUAUUCACAUAUAAAUUGUAGAUUUGAAACUGAUAACUGAUAUGGAGUAGUUGAGAUAUAUAAUAAAUUCUGUGGAGAUUUGGUUUGU